CGCGUAGGUGGUUUCAGCAAGUUGGAGGUGAAAUCCCCGGGCUCAACCUGGGAACUGCCUCCAAAACUACUGAGCUAGAGUACGGUAGAGGGUAGUGGAAUUUCCUGUGUAGCGGUGAAAUGCGUAGAUAUAGGAAGGAACACCAGUGGCGAAGGCGACUACCUGGACUGAUACUGACACUGAGGUGCGAAAGCGUGGGGAGCAAACA
rnacentral:rRNA from 1 species